rnacentral:sRNA from 1 species
AAAAAAAAAGCCAAAA